rnacentral:rRNA from 1 species
CCUACGGGUGGCUGCAGUGAGGAAUAUUGGUCAAUGGACGAGAGUCUGAACCAGCCAAGUAGCGUGAAGGAUGACUGCCCUAUGGGUUGUAAACUUCUUUUAUAUGGGAAUAAAAUGUUCCACGUGUGGGAUUUUGUAUGUACCAUAUGAAUAAGGAUCGGCUAACUCCGUGCCAGCAGCCGCGGUAAUACGGAGGAUCCGAGCGUUAACCGGAUUUAUUGGGGUGAAAGGGAGCGUAGGCGGGUUGUUAAGUCAGUUGUGAAAGUUUGCGGCUCAACCGGAGAAUUGCAGUUGAAACUGGCAGGCUUGAGUACAGUAGAGGUGGGCGGAAUUCGAGGUGUAGCGGUGAAAUGCUUAGAUAUCUCGAAGAACACCGGUUGCGAAGGCAGCUCCCUGGACUGCAACUGACGCUGAGGCUCGAAAGUGUGGGUAUCAAACAGGAUUAGAUACCCCAGUAGUC